AAUUCUCAACCUAUCAACUUUUCACGAAGCUGGUAUGGCUUGGAUAUGGAGGUUUGCAGGUUUCUAACGAAGUCAGCUCCUCUGAAAUGCAUUAGCGGUACCCGUGCGGAAUCGUCUAUUGGUGUGAUAAUAUCUACGCCGUGGACAUCUGCUUUAUAUGGGUUGUGCUGCUUAUAACCGUCCCUCUGUGGACAAUUUAUGACA
rnacentral:misc_RNA from 1 species